CAGUAGCCGCGGGAAUACGAAGGGUGCAAGCGUUAAUCGGAAUUACUGGGCGUAGAGCGUGCGUAGGCGGUUUGUUAAGUCUGUUGUGAAAUCCCCGGGCUCAACCUGGGAAUGGCAAUGGAUACUGGCAAGCUAGAGUGUGUCAGAGGAUGGUGGAAUUCCCGGUGUAGCGGUGAAAUGCGUAGAGAUCGGGAGGAACAUCAGUGGCGAAGGCGGCCAUCUGGGACAACACUGACGCUGAGGCACGAAAGCGUGGGGAGCAAACAGGAUUAGAGACCCGAGUAGUCCCUGUCUCUUAUAC
rnacentral:rRNA from 1 species